AGAGCGAACGCUGGCGGCAUGCUUAACACAUGCAAGUCUCACGGGCAGCAAUGUCAGUGGCGGACGGGUGAGUAACGCGUAGGUAUCUAUCCAUGGGUGGGGGAUAACGUCGGGAAACUGACGCUAAUACCGCAUGACAUCUGAGGAUCAAAGGCGCGAGUCGCCUGUGGAGGAGCCUGCGUACGAUUAGCUAGUUGGUGGGGUAAAGGCCUACCAAGGCUACGAUCGUUAGCUGGUCUGAGAGGAUGAUCAGCCACACUGGGACUGAGACACGGCCCAGACUCCUACGGGAGGCAGCAGUGGGGAAUAUUGGACAAUGGGCGAAAGCCUGAUCCAGCAAUGCCGCGUGUGUGAAGAAGGUCUUCGGAUUGUAAAGCACUUUCGGCGGGGACGAUGAUGACGGUACCCGCAGAAGAAGCCCGGCUAACUUCGCGCCAGCAGCCGCGGUAA
rnacentral:rRNA from 1 species